AGUGAACGCUGGCGGUAGGCCUAACACAUGCAAGUCGAACGGCAGCACAGUAAGAGCUUGCUCUUACGGGUGGCGAGUGGCGGACGGGUGAGGAAUACAUCGGAAUCUACUUUUUCGUGGGGGAUAACGUAGGGAAACUUACGCUAAUACCGCAUACGACCUACGGGUGAAAGCAGGGGAUCUUCGGACCUUGCGCGAUUGAAUGAGCCGAUGUCGGAUUAGCUAGUUGGCGGGGUAAAGGCCCACCAAGGCGACGAUCCGUAGCUGGUCUGAGAGGAUGAUCAGCCACACUGGAACUGAUACGCGGUCCAGACUCCUACGGGAGGCAGCAGUGGGGAAUAUUGGACAAUGGGCGCAAGCCUGAUCCAGCCAUACCGCGUGGGUGAAGAAGGCCUUCGGGUUGUAAAGCCCUUUUGUUGGGAAAGAAAAGCAGCAGGUUAAUACCCCGCUGUUCUGACGGUACCCAAAGAAUAAGCACCGGCUAACUUCGUG
rnacentral:rRNA from 1 species